rnacentral:rRNA from 1 species
UACGAAGGGGGCUAGCGUUGCUCGGAAUUACUGGGCGUAAAGGGCGCGUAGGCGGACAGUUUAGUCAGAGGUAAAAGCCCAGGGCUCAACCUUGGAACUGCCUUUGAUACUGGCUGUCUUGAGUUCGGGAGAGGUGAGUGGAAUGCCGAGUGUAGAGGUGAAAUUCGUAGAUAUUCGGCGGAACACCAGUGGCGAAGGCGGUUACCUGGAGCUUUGCUGACGCUGAUGCGCGAAAGCGUGGGGAGCGAUCCGG